rnacentral:tRNA from 1 species
AAGAAAGUGACAGAGCGGUUAUGUGCUUGGCUUGAAACCAAAGUACGGAGGUUCAAUUCCUUCUUUUCUCG